ensembl:lncRNA
CUCCUGCCCGCGCGGCAGGCUCCGCCCCCACUGGGCGCCUCGGGGCGGGUCUGCGCCUUGAGUGGUCGCCGGCCGCGGGCAGAGCGGCGCGGGGAGCGGUCCAUCUCUGCGCCUGAGAGGCGGCCUUGAUCGUCCCGUUCCGGCCUCCAGUGGACGGCGGCGCCGCGGGGGUCAGCAGGAGGCCUGUGGCAGAGCCCACGUCCGCCUGACUGCCCGUCCGUGUCCUUUCCUGUCUGGAAGCGCCUUCGCCUGCGGGGCUCUGAGCUUUAUUAUCACGUUCGCCGCCCGCCAUGUGAUCCUCACUGUACAGCCCACAGAGCAGCGACACAUCUGUCGCCUCACCUUCCCUGAAGCUCCAUGAGUGCGAAGAUCAGGGAUGGACGUGCCUGCGCCCAAGCCCAGCGCGCCGCUUACUGGGACCCAGCCAGGCCCGUUCCUUUGCGGGUGGUCCCUGCCUGCGUCCCCGGAAGGGCGGAGUUGCGUGGGUGGAACAGAGACAGUCUGGCCUGGGAAGCCUAAAAUAUGUACUGUCCGGCCCUCUACGAAAAAAGACUGCGGACUCUUGAAGUAGAUUAUCCCCAUUUUACAGAUGAGGAACCUGAGGCAUCUCGCUUGGGCACGGUGCCCAGCUCCUGUGUCCCCAGCUAGCCCUGGAACAAGAUGGGACGCCUCUCCCUGUGCAUUUCCCAUUACGGCUCCUGCUUAUUACAGAUUCUCCCCAGUGGGUCUGGCCAGUUCUCCCAAGUGGAUCUGGCCUCUGUGUCAGGCUUUCUCUUCGUUCCAGCCCCCAGGGGAGGAGAAAGUACGGCUCACCUCCUGAGUGGAAAGUGGCAGGGCCUAGGCUCCCAGAGAUGAAGGACUUAGUCCCUCCUUCGGAUGGAGCGCAGCCCCGAGGGCCCAGGCUGGGGAAGCUGAGCUGAGACGGCACGAAGGCCCGAAGGCGGCAGAGUCCGCGCAACAGCCGGCACAAAGGUGCAGGAUGUGAACGGUGCGCCGCGUCGAGGAAGCUGCUGAGACCAGCGAAGGUGGAGGAGGAAUGAGAGCCCCCCACGAAGUAAGUACUGAAGCCUGUCUUCGCUCAUGGGAAAAUGGAAGCUCAGACACACUAAGGAAGCCACCAGUAAGAGAAGGGCUGGGAUCCAAGUGCCCCUAGUCAGGCUCCAAAGCCAGGCUCUUCCCUCUUCCCUCCAGAGACGGAAGAGGCUGCAGAAGAAAACCAGAGGCAAAGCAUUGAGACAUGAGGGCCUGGGGUCCCUGAGUCUGAUUCGGCAGCUCUGAGCUGGGGCUCAGGCAUCGUGUGAAGCUCUGCAAGUGAUUCUGAUGUGCAGCCAGGCUGAGGGCUCUCCCUCUCCGAUGAGCAGCGGACUCAUUCCCCAGAAUGCAGCCUGGCCGCGUCCAUGCCACGCCCGAGCCUUGGAGGAUGACCCUGCCCUGCGGGAGCCUGGCUGGGGUGGUGGACCGGGCAGGUGCGUCCCAGGGCCUCUUCUCCCCACCUGUCCCCACAGCUCCAGCCCGGGGCACCCACCUUUGGCAAAAUAAAGUGUCUGACCC